rnacentral:misc_RNA from 1 species
UAGCUGCGUUAAAUAGCGCGAAUUGCAGACACAUUGAGCGCUAAAAUUUCGAACGCACAUUGCGCCAUCGGGUUCGUUCCCGUUGGCAUGCCUGUCUGAGGGUCAGAUACCCCAUGUUACCGAUAUUCGCUCGGCCGACUAGGCUGUUCGCGCGGCGGUCGUCUUGCCUGCGCGAAGUCCCUAGUUAUCGCUCGAGCCGGUUAGUCGGAGCGCUACUACGGCUCGAUAGUACCGCUCUCAGAUGAAACGGUUCUUCGGAACUCGCGUACUGUACGCGACGCUUAAACGCAUCGACGUUAAUCGGGUUCGCGCCGCUGGCUUCUAGCUCGAACCGUGAUUUGUCCGAACCGCGUUUUAGCGUACUUCAUCAAUUGACCUCAGAUCAGACAUGACUACCCGC